AUGGACCACUCGUACACUCCGGUUCGGCCGCGCCGUCCACACCCACCUGACGACUCCUGGCUACGUUCUGUUAGCC
rnacentral:sRNA from 2 species